rnacentral:rRNA from 1 species
AUUGAACGCUGGCGGCAGGCCUAACACAUGCAAGUCGAGCGGAUGAAGGGAGCUUGCUCCUGGAUUCAGCGGCGGACGGGUGAGUAAUGCCUAGGAAUCUGCCUGGUAGUGGGGGAUAACGUCCGGCAACGGGCGCUAAUACCGCAUACGUCCUGAGGGAGAAAGUGGGGGAUCUUCGGACCUCACGCUAUCAGAUGAGCCUAGGUCGGAUUAGCUAGUUGGUGGGGUAAAGGCCUACCAAGGCGACGAUCCGUAACUGGUCUGAGAGGAUGAUCAGUCACACUGGAACGGAGACACGGUCCAGACUCCUACGGGAGGCAGCAGUGGGGAAUAGUGGACAAUGGGCGAAAGCCUGAUCCAGCCGUGCCGCGUGUGUGAAGAAGGUCUUCGGAGUGUAAAGCACUUUAAGUUGGGGGGAAGGGCAGUAAGUUAAUACCUGGCUGUUUUGACGUUACCAACAGAAGAAGCACCGGCUAACUACGUG